AAAGAUUUAGUUUAAUAUAAAACAUUAAUUUGUCAAAUUAAAACUACUUAAUAAAGUAAUCUUUA
rnacentral:tRNA from 1 species